CUACGGGACGCUGCAGUGAGGAAUAUUGCACAAUGGGGGAAACCCUGAUGCAGCAACGCCGCGUGGAGGAUGACGCAUUUCGGUGUGUAAACUCCUUUUAUGAGUCAAGAAAAUGACGGUAGCUCAUGAAUAAGCGCCGGCUAACUCCGUGCCAGCAGCCGCGGUAAUACGGAGGGUGCAAGCGUUACUCGGAAUCACUGGGCGUAAAGGACGCGUAGGCGGGAUGUCAAGUCAGGUGUGAAAUCCUAUGGCUCAACCAUAGAACUGCACUUGAAACUGGCAACCUAGAGUAUGGGAGGGGGAGAUGGAAUUAGUGGUGUAGGGGUAAAAUCCGUAGAUAUCACUAGGAAUACCGAAAGCGAAGGCGAUCUCCUGGAACAUUACUGACGCUAAGGCGUGAAAGCGUGGGGAGCGAACAGGAUUAGAUACCCCAGUAGUC
rnacentral:rRNA from 1 species